rnacentral:rRNA from 1 species
GAUGAACGCUGGCGGCGUGCCUAAUACAUGCAAGUCGAGCGAACGGACGAGAAGCUUUCUUCUCUGAUGUUAGCGGCGGACGGGUGAGUAACACGUGGAUAACCUACCUAUAAGACUGGGAUAACUUCGGGAAACCGUAGCUAAUACCGGAUAAUAUUUUGAACCGCAUGGUUCAAAAGUGAAAGACGGUCUUGCUGUCACUUAUAGCUGGAUCCGCGCUGCAUUAGCUAGUUGGUAAGGUAACGGCCUACCAAGGCAACGAUGCAUAGCCGACCUGAGAGGGUGAUCGGCCACACUGGAACUGAGACACGGUCCAGACUCCUACGGGAGGCAGCAGUAGGGAAUAUUGCGCAAUGGGCGAAAGCCUGGCGGAGCAACGCCGCGUGAGUGAUGAAGGUCUUCGGAUCGUAAAACUCUGUUAUUAGGGAAGAACAUAUGUGUAAGUAACUGUGCACAUCUUGACGGUACCUAAUCAGAAAGCCACGGCUAACUACGUG